rnacentral:rRNA from 1 species
UACGGGGGGAGCAAGCGUUGUUCGGAUUUACUGGGCGUAAAGGGCGCGUAGGCGGGCGCAACAAGUCACUUGUGAAAUCUCCGGGCUUAACUCGGAAAGGUCAAGUGAUACUGUUGUGCUAGAGUGCGGAAGGGGCAACUGGAAUUCUCGGUGUAGCGGUGAAAUGCGCAGAUAUCAGGAGGAACACCGAUGGCGAAGGCAGCUCACUGGGACGGUACUGACGCUGAGACGCGAAAGCGUGGGGGAGCAAACGGG